UACGUAGGGUGCGAGCGUUGCCCGGAUUUAUUGGGCGUAAAGGGCGCGUAGGCGGCUCGGCACGUCCGUUGUGAAAUCGCUCGGCUCAACUGGGCGAGGUCAGCGGAUACGGUCGAGCUUGAGCCAGCUAGGGGGCAAUGGAAUUCCCGGUGUAGUGGUGGAAUGCGUAGAUAUCAGGAGGAACACCGGUGGCGAAGGCGGGUCUCUGGGCAGUAACUGACGCUGAGGAGCGAAAGCGUGGGGAGCGAACAGG
rnacentral:rRNA from 1 species